UACGAGGGGCUAGCGUUGCUCGGAAUUACUGGGCGUAAAGGGCGCGUAGGCGGCACUGUUAGUCAGGCGUGAAAGUCCUGGGCUCAACCUGGGAACUGCGCUUGAUACGGCAGAGCUAGAGGAUGGAAGAGGCUCGCGGAAUUCCCAGUGUAGAGGUGAAAUUCGUAGAUAGUUGGGAAGAACACCGGUGGCGAAGGCGGCCCACUGGUCCGGUACUGACGCUGAGGUGGCGAAAGCGUGGGGAGCAAACAGG
rnacentral:rRNA from 1 species